rnacentral:lncRNA from 1 species
GUCCCAAACAUGGCCGGUUGUGAUACAGCCUGGACUUGAACCAGGGUCUGUAGUGAAGCCACUAGCACUGAGAUGCAGUGUCUUAGACCGUUGCGCCACUCUGGAGAAACAGUAUGAAACGUAACACUCAUAAGCUAUUUAACAGUAUUAGUAAUGUGUAGAGACCAGAGACACAUUCAUCAGCUCUGUGGUGGUUAGUAACAGUGAUGUGUUGAGGCCAGAGACACAUUCAUCAGCUCUGUGGUGGUAGUAACAGUGAUGUGUAGAGACCAGAGACACAUUCAUGAGCUCUGUGGUGGUAGUAACAGUGAUGUGUAGAGACCAGAGACACAUUCAUCAGCUCUGUGGUGGUAGUAACAGUGAUGUGUAGAGACCAGAGACACAUUCAUCAGCUCUGUGGGGUUGGUAACAGUGAUGUGUUGAGGCCAGAGACAAAUUCAUCAGCUCUGUGGUGGUAGUAUUAGUAAUGUGUAGAGACCAGAGACACAUUCAUCAGCUCUGUGGUGGUAGUAACAGUGAUGUGUAGAGACCAUAGACACAUUCAUCAGCUCUGUGGUGGUAGUAUUAGUAAUGUGUAGAGGCCAGAGACACAUUCAUCAGCUCUGUGGUGGUAGUAACAGUGAUGUGUAGAGACCAGAGACACAUUCAUGAGCACUGUGGUGGUAGUAACAGUGAUGUGUAGAGACCAGAGACACAUUCAUCAGCUCUGAGGUGGUAGUAACAGUGAUGUGUAGAGACCAGAGACACAUUCAUCAGCUCUGUGGUGGUAGUGACAGUGAUGUGUAGAGACCAGAGACACAUUCAUCAGCUCUGAGGUGGUAGUGACAGUGAUGUGUAGAGACCAGAGACACAUUCAUCAGCUCUGU